AACGAACGCUGGCGGCAGGCCUAACACAUGCAAGUCGAGCGAGACCUUCGGGUCUAGCGGCGGACGGGUGAGUAACGCGUGGGAAUAUGCCCUUCUCUACGGAAUAGCCUCGGGAAACUGGGAGUAAUACCGUAUACGCCCUUCGGGGGAAAGAUUUAUCGGAGAAGGAUUAGCCCGCGUUGGAUUAGGUAGUUGGUGGGGUAAUGGCCUACCAAGCCGACGAUCCAUAGCUGGUUUGAGAGGAUGAUCAGCCACACUGGGACUGAGACACGGCCCAGACUCCUACGGGGGGCAGCAGUGGGGAAUCUUAGACAAUGGGCGCAAGCCUGAUCUAGCCAUGCCGCGUGAUUGAUGAAGGCCUUAGGGUUGUAAAGAUCUUUCAGCUGGGAAGAUAAUGACGGUACCAGCAGAAGAAGCCCCGGCUAACUCCGUGCCAGCCGCCGCCGUAA
rnacentral:rRNA from 1 species